AAGUCGUAACAAUAGGUGAACCCGUGGAAGGAUCAUUAACACGUAUCCACGUAUCAAAACCCCUCUGUGCAAACCUCUUCGUAAGGCUUGAUUGGAGUUGUAUUCACUCGAUCUUAGUGAUGGGAGUCCCCUCUCGCGGGGACCCGGAAUCUAUGAGUGUUUACCACGUUUGACAAUCGGGCCGCUAUUUUUCCAUCGUUAGCCCUUUAUAACUUUUAAUAGCUUGCACUUUUUUGUACUGAACCGAAAUUCUUCGAGUUCGGCUUCGGCUGAGAUACGAAAAAUAUUGCGAAACUAAAGAACAACUCGUAGCAACGGAUAUCUUGGUUCCC
rnacentral:misc_RNA from 1 species